rnacentral:rRNA from 1 species
AUUGAACGCUGGCGGCAUGCCUUACACAUGCAAGUCGAACGGCAGCACGGGUGCUUGCACCUGGUGGCGAGUGGCGAACGGGUGAGUAAUACAUCGGAACAUGUCCUGUAGUGGGGGAUAGCCCGGCGAAAGCCGGAUUAAUACCGCAUACGAUCCACGGAUGAAAGCGGGGGACCUUCGGGCCUCGCGCUAUAGGGUUGGCCGAUGGCUGAUUAGCUAGUUGGUGGGGUAAAGGCCUACCAAGGCGACGAUCAGUAGCUGGUCUGAGAGGACGACCAGCCAAGGGAGGAGGGAAACGCGCCCCGGCCACCAGGGGGAGGAGGGGGGGGGGAAUUGGGAAAAGGGGGGAAAAGCGGAAUCGGACAGGGCGGCGGGGGGAAAAAGGGCAUGGGGUUUGAAAGGGGUUUUUGCCGGGAAAGAAGACGUAGCCUCUAAACGAGGGGGGGGAUGACGGUACCGAAAAAAUAAGCCCGGGCAAACAAGGUG